rnacentral:lncRNA from 1 species
GGGGUAUAGUUGUCCAGCUCUGUUUAGUGGCACAUGUGAUAAUAAUAAUAAUAAUAAUAAUAAUAAUAAUAAUAAUAAUAAUAAUAAUAAUAAUAAUAAUAAUAAUUGAAGAUAUUGCCAGGUCACUAGAUGCAGUUUCUAUUUUUUUUUUUUUUUUUUUUUAUAAAGAUGUUUAGAUGUUUUGUCUACAGCACUAGCCAGGGUUUCACAAAUCAAAAUAUGAUUUAAAUAAGAAAAUACGCGUUGCCAUCCAGCAGGCAUUGCCACCAUCUUUGCCAAGAGACAUUUUGCAAUCCAGUUCUCAACCAAUUUCUCCUGCUUCUAAGGAGCAUGAGAGUUAUUGCAAUGAAACAGGCAGCAACAUUUCAAAACAAAUCCUUUUACAGACUUUAAUCUGAGGAAAAGAGAUUCGAGGUCUGUCGCCAGUGGUAGGAGAUAAUCUUGUAGGGUAGCAAGAAGAAAGUGCCUGAGCUGCAGAUAAAAGACGAGCUCCUGCCGCGGAACAUUAUACAAAUGUUGAAGAUGCUGGAAAGACGCCAGAGCUCCCUGGUGAUGCAGACUGGAGACACAAGUUACACAGCCACCGUCCCACCGCACAGCAAAGGGAAACAGUCGCAGGAUUCAAUCAAGCGCAGCUACAGAGCUUACCCAAAAGCAGUUGGCGUAUAUUUUAAAUGAUGCAUCAAGGACUCGAGAUGUGAAAUAUCCAGGAACAGCAACAGAAAGAGAGACGCCCUCAGACAAUGUUCUCAUUACUUUCAACUACCAUAUGGAAAAAAAUAUAUAUACAGAAGAUACGGGAAGAGUGAAGUGCUGAGAGUGACAUGUAUGUAGACUGCUACACGGCCAGGAAGACGAGGGUCAGAGUGCUCCAUUCUACAUUUGUAAAGGAAAGGAAAACUCAAACUGCUAUGGCACAAAGCAAAGUGUUAGAAAAGAACCUGAGGAUCCUGGUGGAGAAGCUGAAGACAAGCCACCAGUCUGUCCUUGUGGCAAUGAAGACCAUGUGCUGGGCUGUAUUAGAAACAUUGAGGGACACAGUUAUUUCUCUCUACUGGAAUAUGAUGAGGCUGCAUAUGAAAUAUUGUGUCACCUUCAUUGCCUCCAAGACAGAGACACACAUACUGAAGAAAGAGGAUGGCCACAAAAAUUAGGGGUUGGACAACAAUACCCAGGACUAGAUGCUAAAGGAAUUGGAAUGGCUCACCCUGGAGCAGAGGUUUGAGGGGGAACCGACUGCCCUCUUCCACAGCCUACAGUAGAGUUGCAGAGAAGGCUCCAUGCUAGAUCCUUCCCAGAGGUGCACAGAGAAAGGACAGGAGGACAAAAGGACAAGUCACAAGUUACAGGAGGAGGAGUUUAAAGUGCACAUAAAAGAAACUUCCCUGUCUGAGUCGUGAGGGACUGGAACAGGUUGCAUGGGCUGGUUGCAGCACCCUCAUCCAUGGAUGUAUGCACAAACAAACCCUGAGCCACCUAAGUCACUGCUGAAGUGGACCUGCUCUGAAAGGGGCUUGGACUGAAUGGCUGCCAGAGGUCCCUUCCAAGCCAAAUUUCUUAUUAUUAUUUCUGCUGUCUUUAUUUCACCAAGCUGGAGCUUUGCCCUAACUCCAGUCAGUUCUACUUAUGUACAUUUUUCCACUGAUAAGUAGUUUUUGCUAAAAUGCAAGAUACUUUUCUGUGUUUCACAAACAUUGAUUCCCAGGUGGUUUCAACAGAAGCUGUGCUUGUCUCAUGAUAUCACUAGUAUUUCCUCAUAUUUUGGCAUGAAGGACACAGAAUUCAGGUCAUGAGAGGAAAAAUCUCCUUCUAUAAUGUGCAAUUCUGCCAGUAGGAGAGCAGCCUCGACCAUCUCAACUCGACAGAAGCUUCCUCUGGGGAAACAGAGUGCUCCUUCAGUUCCACAACUGCCGAAGACAAAAUACUCUUAUCAAGGUUUCCUAACCAUAGGAUGAGAUCGGAUUCUAGAAUAUUUGUGUGUGUGCAAGUAAUUUUGAGUAAUUUAAUAGAAGUAGAAGAGGAAAGGAGGUUCAGUUGAGCAUUUUUAACUUUCACUGGAACAUCUUAUGAGACAAGAAGUUAAUCCUCUUUGCCACCAGAUUAAUUAUGAAAUGCCAAAAACACGUUAAAAUUUCAUAAAUUUCCCUCUUUUUGGCCUUAAACUGAAAAUAUGAAGUCUUUUCAGUCUCUUUUUAUCUGAUAGGUAUGCCAGAAUUUCUCUUAUCGCACAACCUUCUUUACAAUUUUAUAUUCUAGAUAUUAUCAAAUGCAUUCUUCUGUAUAUAAAUGGAAGCUAACAUACACAUGGAUAUCUAUUUUAAAAAGGUUAUCAAUAUCUAAAAAGCUUGAUUAUUUCUUAAAAAAAAAAAAAAAUCAAAAGUUUUUUUCAAAAGAUAAAUUUUAGGGAUUUUAACAAGUCCAGAUCUUUUUCUCCAUAUUUAAAAAGGCAUUGUCAUUAAAAAGAAAAAAAUCUAGCUGUUAUAUAAUUGCUUGAAUGAAAUAGAAACUUACCCUUUGUAUUUCAUUUGAGUCUGAUUGUCUCUCAUCUUUAUGUUACAGUUUUUACAGACUGGUGUAAAAAAUCAUGCACAUAAAAUCACUCCACAUUCUACAUGUUCGGAAUAGUGGCAUGUCUUCGGUUUCCCUCUAUAAUAUUGAACUCCCUUUAUAUAAUUAUAAUAAUAAUUUUUAGAAGGCACAUUUUGCUGCUGCUUAGUCUUUCUUCUGACUACAAAACAGAUGAACACAAAGCACCCACUUUCAUAGACCUCAACUACAUCCUCAAUUGUUUCAAAUCCUAUUGAUCUAAAAAAAUAAAAAAAAAAAUAAUAAAAAUAAUAAUAAUCUU